rnacentral:lncRNA from 1 species
UGUCAACAUUAUUUACAGUUCACACAUACAACUUCUACCUGGAUUUACUAAUCAAAACACUUACGUGUGCCACUGCACCUAGCCAAGAUGUCUACUUUUAAAUAUUUUUAUAUUUAAUUUUUGGUAACUUAAAAAUCUUAUAUUAACCUAAGUUAAAUGAUGGUUAUUUGUAUUAGUCUGUUUUCUGUUGCUAUCACUGAAUACCUCAGAGUAGGGAGUGGGUAAUUUAUAAAGAAAAUAAAUUUAUGUAUUAUGGUUCUUGGGGCUAGGAAGUCCAAGGGCAGUCAACAGGCCAAAUCUAGGGAGGGCCUUCUUGCUAAUGGGCUCUGAUAUGGUUUGGAUCUGUGGCCCCACCAAAGUCUCAUGUUGAAUUGUAGUCCCCAGUGUUGGAGGUGGGGCCUGGUGGAGGUGAUUGGAUUAUGAGGGCAGAUUUCUCAUAAAUGUUUUAACACCAUUCCUCUCGGUACUGUCCUUCUGACAGUGAGUGAGUUCUCAUGAGAUCUGAUUGUUAAAAAAUGUGUGGCACCUCCCCAUUCUCUCUUCCUCCUGCUCUGGCCAUGUGAAGUGCUGUCUUCCUUUGCCUUCUGCUGUGAUUGUAACUUUCCUGAGGCCUCCCUAGAAGCCAAGCAGAUGCCAGCAUCAUGCUUCCUGUACAGCUUGUGGACCUGUGUGCCAAAUAAACCUCUUUUCUUUAUAAAUCACCCAGUGUCUGGUACUAAUUUAUAGCAAUGUGAGAACAAACUAAUACAAAGUCUCUCUGCAGCGUCCCAAGUUGGUGCAGGAAUUAUAUGGCAAGGGGACUCACUGAGAGACAAACAGCCUUUUACAACAGAGUCACACUGUAUUAGUCUGUUUUGCAUUGCUAUAAAGAAAUACCUAAGCCUGAGUAAUUUAUAAAGAAAAGAAGUUAAUUAGCUCACGGUUCUGCAAGCUGUACAGGAAGCAUGGCAGCUUCUGCUUCUAGGAGACCUCAGGAAGCCUCCAAUCAUGGCAGAAGGCAAAGGGGGAGUGAGCUGUCUCACAUGGCCAGAGCAGGAGGUAGAGAGGGGAAGGUGCCACACACUUACAAACAACCAGAUCUCAGGACAACUCACUCAGUAUCAGGAGAACAGCACCACAAAAUUGUGGUUAAUCAUUCAUGAGAAGCCUCCCACGACCCAAUCACCUCCCACCAGGCCUUACCUCCAACAUCUGGGAUUACAAUUCAACAUGAGAUUUGGUGGGAACACAGAUCCAAACCAUAUCACGCACAAAUUGCAAUUACUUCACACUCACGAUAACCCAUUAAUCUGUGAAGGAUUAAUCUGUUCAUGAAGGCAGGGCCCUCAUGAUGGAAUCACAUCUUAAAGCCCCUACGUCUGAGUACUGUUACAUUGGGGAUUUAGUUUUAAUAUGAUUUUCAGAGCAGAAAAACAUUCAAACCAUAGCAAUAUGUAUUGAAUAUCUAGAUCAUUUCCAAAUAAGAUAUUAAUAUGAUACUGAAACAUUUAUUGCUGAACAUAAAUUUAGAACUUACUUUGCCUACCUAUUACAGAAGAACAAAAGAUAUUUGGGCCUAUUAAACCUUUCCUCUGCCAUUUCCUGUCCUGUGUCAUAGGACUAGGAAUCGUGUUUCUAGAAAGUAUGAAAUCGUGUGCUUGCAAACUUGGAAGAAAACAGUUCAUGACUGCAUACCUUCUAGUUCUCUAGUGUUCACUGGAAAUUAAAGACACUAAAAGUUAACAAUUCUUAUUAAUUAAUCAUAUUAAUGUAAUUGGAAUUUCUAGAAAUAUUAGGGGAAGCAACUUUAUACGCAAAGCAUAACAGAAAAAUAAGGUGUAUUUUUUCUUUGAAACCUAUGAAAUAUACUGGCCAGGCACGGUGGCUCAUGCUUGUAAUCCCAGCACUUUGGGAAGCUGAGGCGGUGGAUCACCUGAGCUCAGGAGUUCGAGACCAGCCUGGCCAACAUGUUGAAACCAUGUCUCUACUAAAAAUACAAAAAUUAGCCAGUCAUGGUGGCAGGUGCCUGUAACCCCAGUUACUCCGGAGGCUGAGGUGGGAGAAUCGCUUGAACCCAGGAGGUGGAGGUUGCAGUGAGCCAAGAUAGCACCACUGCACUCCAGCCUGGGCGACAAAGCAAGACUCUUUCUAAAAAAACAAAAAUGAAUAAACAAAAAAACUAUGAGACAGAAAAGAUGGGUUUUUGUUAAAAUAAAAAAUAAUAUUGUUUUAGUUUGAAAAUUAUUCAAAGGUUGUUUCAAAAUGAAUCAAUAAAAAACAUAAAACUGAAUGGAUAUUGUCUUAGUCUAUUUUGUGCUACUAUAACAGAACAUCUGAGACUGAGUGAUUUACGUAAAU